rnacentral:tRNA from 1 species
GGAUUGUGGCUCAGUGGCAGAGCACUUGUCUCUCAUGUAUGAGGUACUGGGUUCCAUCCUCAACACCA